UAAGGAAUAUUGGUCAAUGGACGCAAGUCUGAACCAGCCAUGCCGCGUGGAGGAUGAAGGCCCUCUGGGUUGUAAACUUCUUUUAUAUGGGACGAAAAAGGGUCUUUCUAGAUCAACUGACGGUACCAUGUGAAUAAGCACCGGCUAACUCCGUGCCAGCAGCCGCGGUAAUACGGAGGGUGCAAGCGUUAUCCGGAUUCACUGGGUUUAAAGGGUGCGUAGGUGGGUUGGUAAGUCAGUGGUGAAAUCUCCGAGCUUAACUUGGAAACUGCCAUUGAUACUAUCAGUCUUGAAUAUUGUGGAGGUCAGCGGAAUAUGUCAUGUAGCGGUGAAAUGCUUAGAUAUGACAUAGAACACCAAUUGCGAAGGCGGCUAUCUGGACGGUUACUGACGCUAAGACUCGAAAGCGUGGGGAGCAAACA
rnacentral:rRNA from 1 species